rnacentral:rRNA from 1 species
UGAGGAAUAUUGGUCAAUGGGCGAGAGCCUGAACCAGCCAAGUCGCGUGAAGGAAGACAGUCCUAAGGAUUGUAAACUUCUUUUAUACGGGAAUAACGGGCGAUACGAGUAUUGCAUUGAAUGUACCGUAAGAAUAAGCAUCGGCUAACUCCGUGCCAGCAGCCGCGGUAAUACGGAGGAUGCGAGCGUUAUCCGGAUUUAUUGGGUUUAAAGGGUGCGUAGGUUGUUCGGUAAGUCAGCGGUGAAACCUGAGCGCUCAACGUUCAGCCUGCCGUUGAAACUGCCGGGCUUGAGUUCAGUGGCGGCAGGCGGAAUUCGUGGUGUAGCGGUGAAAUGCAUAGAUAUCACGAGGAACUCCGAUUGCGAAGGCAGCUUGCCAUACUGCGACUGACACUGAAGCAUGAAGGCGUGGGUAUCAAACAGG